UCCUCGAUGGUCUAACGGUCAUGAUUUCCGCUUGUCACGCGGGAGACCUGGGUUCGACUCCCAGUCGGGGAG
rnacentral:tRNA from 12 species